UGGAACAACAUAUGGAUCUGUAGCAACUUUCAGUUGCAAUGACGGAUUUGAUUUAAAAGGCUCAAAACACGCUGCUUGCCAAGCCAACAGUUCAUGGAAUGUUUCAUCCCCUAUUUGUAUCAUAAAAGACUGUGGUGUUUUGCAAGAUCCAGUCAGUGGAGUGAUCACAUAUGCCAGAAAUAUGACAUCUUAUAGUUCCAAUGCUACGUAUUCCUGCAAACCUGGAUAUAACAGGAUUGGUCCUGAAACAAUAUAUUGUAAUGCAUCAGGACAUUGGAGCAGCAACACAACUUUUUGUCAGAUAAAAGAUUGUGGAAACCUUACAGAUCCGUUGUACGGAAAAACAGACAUGUCAAACGGCACGACAUACUUAUCAGUGGUCAAGUAUAGUUGUAACAUCGGAUACACAUUAAAUGGAGAUAACGCUACGACAUGUACAGCCACAGGAAAUUGGAGCGAUCAUUACGUGAACUGCACAA